rnacentral:rRNA from 1 species
AUUGAACGCUGGCGGAAUGCUUUACACAUGCAAGUCGAACGGCAGCACGGAGAGCUUGCUCUCUGGUGGCGAGUGGCGAACGGGUGAGUAAUAUAUCGGAACGUGUCCAAUAAUGGGGGAUAACGAGUCGAAAGAUUCGCUAAUACCGCAUACGAUCUAUGGAUGAAAGCGGGGGAUCGCAAGACCUCGCGCGAUUGGAGCGGCCGAUAUCAGAUUAGGUAGUUGGUAGGGUAAAGGCCUACCAAGCCAACGAUCUGUAGCUGGUCUGAGAGGACGACCAACCACACUGGAACUGAGACACGGUCCAGACUCCUACGGGAGGCAGCAGUGGGGAAUUUUGGACAAUGGGGGAAACCCUGAUCCAGCCAUUCCGCGUGUGCGAUGAAGGCCUUCGGGUUGUAAAGCACUUUUGGCAGGAAAGAAAUCGCACAAAUUAAUACUUUGUGUGGAUGACGGUACCUGCAGAAUAAGCACCGGCUAACUACGUGCCAGCAGCCGCGGUAAUACGUAGGGUGCAAGCGUUAAUCGGAAUUACUGGGCGUAAAGCGUGCGCAGGCGGUUCGGAAAGAGAGGUGUGAAAUCCCAGGGCUUAACCUUGGAACUGCACUUUUAACUCCCGAGCUAGAGUAUGUCAGAGGGGGGUGGAAUUCCGCGUGUAGCAGUGAAAUGCGUAGAUAUGCGGAGGAACACCGAUGGCGAAGGCAGCCCCCUGGGAUAAUACUGACGCUCAUGCACGAAAGCGUGGGGAGCAAACAGGAUUAGAUACCCUGGUAGUCCACGCCCUAAACGAUGUCAACUAGCUGUUGGGGGCUUCGGCCCUUAGUAGCGCAGCUAACGCGUGAAGUUGACCGCCUGGGGAGUACGGUCGCAGAAUUA